UCAGGAUGAACGCUGGCGGCGUGCCUAAUACAUGCAAGUCGAGCGAAUGGAUUAAGAGCUUGCUCUUAUGAAGUUAGCGGCGGACGGGUGAGUAACACGUGGGUAACCUGCCCAUAAGACUGGGAUAACUCCGGGAAACCGGGGCUAAUACCGGAUAACAUUUUGAACCUGCAUGGUUCGAAAUUGAAAGGCGGCUUCGGCUGUCACUUAUGGAUGGACCCGCGUCGCAUUAGCUAGUUGGUGAGGUAACGGCUCACCAAGGCAACGAUGCGUAGCCGACCUGAGAGGGUGAUCGGCCACACUGGGACUGAGACACGGCCCAGACUCCUACGGGAGGCAGCAGUAGGGAAUCUUCCGCAAUGGACGAAAGUCUGACGGAGCAACGCCGCGUGAGUGAUGAAGGCUUUCGGGUCGUAAAACUCUGUUGUUAGGGAAGAACAAGUGCUAGUUGAAUAAGCUGGCACCUUGACGGUACCUAACCAGAAAGCCACGGCUAACUACGUGCCAGCAGCCGCGGUAAUACGUAGGUGGCAAGCGUUAUCCGGAAUUAUUGGGCGUAAAGCGCGCGCAGGUGGUUUCUUAAGUCUGAUGUGAAAGCCCACGGCUCAACCGUGGAGGGUCAUUGGAAACUGGGAGACUUGAGUGCAGAAGAGGAAAGUGGAAUUCCAUGUGUAGCGGUGAAAUGCGUAGAGAUAUGGAGGAACACCAGUGGCGAAGGCGAUUUCUGGUCUGUA
rnacentral:rRNA from 2 species